UUAGCUGCCUACCUCUCUCUAUCCAGCCACACAAAGUCACAAACACAACCAAACUUUAUCCUCCUCUUUUUUCUGCGUUCUGUGAGUCUCUAACCUCUGUCUCUCCUCUCUUCUCCUCAAUUCUCAUCGAUCAGUCGACCUCAGUACCUCUCUAUCCAGCCACUCAGAUUACAAAGGUCUAGGUCAGUAGGCCAUCAAGCAAUUUUGUGGGAUUCUGGAAUUGAGAAAUUGGAGAAGUCGAGCAGUGAACAAACUCAGAGUCACAGACUAUGAUUUGAGUUCAAGGAAUCAGGAAAGGAAUACUUGCCCAAUUGUUAGACUUGCAUAUCGAAUAUUAUUAACUGUGCCUGUUACUGUUGCUUCAGCUGAGAGGAGUUUUUCCAAGUUAAAGUUAUUGAAGUCUUAUUUGCGAUCAACUAUGUCACAAGAAAGGCUAAAUGGACUUGCUUUGAUUUCUAUUGAGAACGAAUAUCUUGGAAAAAUCAAUUGUGAUAAGCUAAUUGAUCAGUUUGCAGGUAAGAAGGCAAGGAGAUGGAUUUUCAAAUGAAUAUCAAUCAACACUGCUAGAAUGUGUUAUUUUGAGGGUUUCAGAUCAAAGCAUCUUUUUGUAAUUAUUUUUUGCUGCAAACUUUAUGUUUGUAUUGAAUAUUUAGCCUCUUUUGUAGGCUCAUCUAAUGAUAUAUAUUGAUCAUGGUUAUUUGAUUUUA